GCCUGAGUGGCUCAGUCGGUUGAGCGUCAGACUUCGGCUCAGGUCAUGAUCUCCCAGUUUGUGGGUUUGAGCCCCUCAUCAGGCU
rnacentral:tRNA from 1 species